CAUGCUCUAGUGCUGAACUUGAGGAGCCAGUCUAGGGCCUAGGCGCAGACUCACUGAGCCCAAGCAGCCGGUGAUGGCGGCAGCAGCGGCGGUGGCUGCGGCGGGUCCGGGCCCAUGAGGCGACGACGGAGGCGGGACGGCUUUUACCCAGCGCCGGACUUCCGAGACAGGGAAGCUGAGGACAUGGCAGGAGUGUUUGACAUAGACCUGGACCAGCCAGAGGACGCGGGCUCUGAGGAUGAGCUGGAGGAGGGGGGUCAGUUAAAUGAAAGCAUGGACCAUGGGGGAGUUGGACCAUAUGAACUUGGCAUGGAACAUUGUGAGAAAUUUGAAAUUUCGGAAACUAGUGUGAACAGAGGGCCAGAAAAAAUCAGACCAGAAUGUUUUGAGCUACUUCGGGUACUUGGAAAAGGGGGCUAUGGAAAGGUUUUUCAAGUACGAAAAGUAACAGGAGCAAAUACUGGGAAAAUAUUUGCCAUGAAGGUGCUUAAAAAGGCAAUGAUAGUAAGAAAUGCUAAAGAUACAGCUCAUACAAAAGCAGAACGGAAUAUUCUGGAGGAAGUAAAGCAUCCCUUCAUUGUGGAUUUAAUUUAUGCCUUUCAGACCGGUGGAAAACUCUACCUCAUCCUUGAGUAUCUCAGCGGAGGAGAAUUAUUUAUGCAGUUAGAAAGAGAGGGAAUAUUUAUGGAAGACACAGCCUGCUUUUACUUGGCAGAAAUCUCCAUGGCUUUGGGGCAUUUACAUCAAAAGGGGAUCAUCUACAGAGACCUGAAGCCGGAGAAUAUCAUGCUUAAUCACCAAGGUCAUGUGAAACUAACAGACUUUGGACUAUGCAAAGAAUCUAUUCAUGAUGGAACAGUCACACACACAUUUUGUGGAACAAUAGAAUACAUGGCCCCUGAAAUCUUGAUGAGAAGUGGCCACAAUCGUGCUGUGGAUUGGUGGAGUUUGGGAGCAUUAAUGUAUGACAUGCUGACUGGAGCACCCCCGUUCACUGGGGAGAAUAGAAAGAAAACAAUUGACAAAAUCCUCAAAUGUAAACUCAAUUUGCCUCCCUACCUCACACAAGAAGCCAGAGAUCUGCUUAAAAAGCUGCUGAAAAGAAAUGCUGCUUCUCGGCUUGGAGCUGGCCCUGGGGAUGCUGGAGAAGUUCAAGCUCAUCCAUUCUUCAGGCAUAUUAACUGGGAAGAACUGCUAGCUCGGAAGGUGGAGCCCCCUUUUAAACCUCUGUUGCAAUCUGAAGAGGAUGUGAGUCAGUUUGAUUCAAAGUUUACACGUCAGACACCUGUUGACAGCCCAGAUGACUCAACUCUCAGUGAAAGUGCCAACCAGGUCUUUCUGGGUUUUACAUAUGUGGCUCCAUCUGUACUUGAAAGUGUGAAAGAAAAAUUUUCCUUUGAACCAAAAAUCCGAUCACCUCGAAGAUUUAUUGGCAGCCCACGAACACCUGUCAGUUACUGUACGGCGGUGUGGUUUUUAGUGCCUUUCACUAAACGCUUUCACCGAUGCUCCGACGCCACAGGUGCUAUUUACUCCCUCAAACCUCCCAAGACCAACGUUGGACGGGACAGUCUCUUUUUCCAUAUAUAACGUAGAACCUUCCCACUUUCCUCCAAGCACAAGCAAGAAAGGGGACGAAAAAUUUAAGAAAAGCAAACGCGCACGCAACUCCUCCGGAAUCCCCAGGACCGAGUUUUCCACCCCCGUUCGAGCUCCGAGUGCCUCACUUAUUCCCCCCACCCCCACCCCAGACACCAUUCGCCGCGGCCCCUCGCCUCAGCCCGCUUCCCCCCAGGCCUGACCUCUCAUGACGAUGAGUGAACGGAGGCCCCGGCAGCGACUGCAGCAACAGCGGGAGACCCCGGCUCGAGGCCUUCAGUCAAGGCCAUCACCUUAAAUCCCCACUACCGGCAACUCCGGCCCAGCUCGGUGGCGGCGGCGGAGGCGGCGGCGGCGGCGGCGGCGGCGCGUGCGCUCCCCAGACGUCCUCACGCGCGCGUGCGCUGCCCGCCGCGUGCCCGCCCCCGCGCAACGCGCCGAGGGACGGGCUGCGCCCGGGCGGCCCCGCUGGCGUGAGGCCGCCUGGGGGUGGUGGUUGUUGAGAGGAGGGGGCUGCGCCUGAGGACCGCCUGCAGGCGUCUGCACUAAACAAUAAGCCGCCGUCACCUAAGUGCGUAUAUACGUGUAAUCCGCUACACGCCUCAGAGAUCUGGAUGUUUUGAGGUUAAAAAUGUUCUGGCUUUAGGAACCUGCUCUCGGAGGAGAGGCCUGAUGUUGGGGGUUGUCUUAGGCCGGCCCCGGCUCGUCCCGCAGGAUGCUGGCGCCUGCCCUGUGUAGGCUGCCCACCACCCUGCUUAUAUCCCCGUCUCCUGGGACCCGAGUUAGAGGAGCCACGUCAGCGACCGGCUCGGCGCGUCUCGAGAAGAGUGGGGCGGAGCGAGAACGUUCGGGUUUUCGCGUUGGCGUUUCUCGAGCUUAACCCCCUGACCGAGUCGUGGCUGGGUGGUGAAGUUUUAACUGAAAUGGCUUUUCGUUAUGAUCUUAAAGUUGCACCGUGUGAGCUAGGCCCUGCCGAAACUUGAGGGAGGAGAAGCAAAGAGAAGUCGGAGAGAGAUUUGGUGGCGGUGGAAGUAGAAGUUAAUUUUAAAAACCCUGUCUUGUAUAUAGGGAAUUCUGCUAUCUUAGCUCUAAGUUCUAGAAUGAAGCGUUUAUUAAGAAAAAUCUUAAAACAAAAGGAACAAGGGCGCCUGGAUGGCUCAGUUGGUUGAGCAACUGCCUUCGGCUCAGGUCAUGAUCCUGGAGUCCCGGGAUCGAGUCCCGCAUCGGGCUCCCAGCUUGGCAGGGAGUCUGCUUCUCCCUCUGACGCUCCUGCCUCUCAUGCUAUCAUUCUCUCUCUCUCAAUUAAAAAACAAACAAACAAACAACAACAACAAAUCCAAAAGAAACCCCCCCCCCUUUUAAUCUCCGGCAAAAACAUAUUUUAAAUGAUAACCGUAUUCCAUGAAUCUUCCCUCAUCCCGCACAACCACCAAAGGCCUUUCCAUUCUGAACUACAAGCUUUUUACCUGUAAUUUAUAGAAAUUGACGUCAAGUAAAUAACUCUUAAUAGUCUUCUUACAGUCUUACUUGGCAAGGGGUUUUCUUUCGUUAGAGACAAUAAAUUUGCAUAUAUGUGCUAUGAGUUGACUAGUGGAAUGAGUGAUACUUUGUCUUUUUAUUGGUCAUUACCUGACUUACAACCAUUCACAACUUUGCCCAGGCUUCUUAAUCACGAAGUUGUUUGCACUUUAUUUUCUCCUGUAUCAGUACAGCUGAGUACACCGUUUAACCUCAGUUAUCUGCUUUGGGGCUGUGCUUAAGUCAGAUUAGUUCUUUUUUUAUUUUAAUUUUUUUUAAGAUUUUAUUUAUUAAUUUGACAGAGAGAGACACAGCGAGAGAGGGAACACAAGCAGGGGGAGUGGGAGAAGGAGAAGCAGGCUUCCUGCAGAGCAGGAAGCCCUAUGUAGGGCUCGAUCCCAGCAUCCUGGGAUCAUAAGUCAGGUUUGUUCUAUCACCAAACCAUUUCCCUUGGUUAGAAAAGACACUCUUCCCCCCCCGCCCCCAACUGGUAUUAGAUCUGCUUCACACUGUUGAUUAAGAUAUUUGGCUUUUUAUUUAUUUUUUAGUAUUCAUAGGUCUCCAUGAGCUUAACAUAAGUCUUGCUGACAAAUUAGGUUUCUGGGUUAGUAAGGCUGUCUUAGUCCAUUUGGGCUGCAAAAUUAUAGGCUAGGUAGCUCAUAAACCACAAAUUUAUUUCUCACAGUUCAGGAGCAUAAGAAGUCUAACAUCAAAGUGCUGGCAGAUUUGGUGUCUGCAUAAUCUCCUCCAGUCCCAUCCAUGUUGAUGUAAAUGUUGGGUAUUCAUCUUUCCUGAUGGCUGAGUAAUAUUCCAUUGUAUAUAUGGACCACAUCUGCAUUGGCCACAGCAACUUCUUUCAAGAUACAUCUCCAAAGGCAAGUGAAACAAAAGCAAAAAUGAACUUUUGGGACUUCAUCAAGAUAAAAAGCUUUUGCACAGCAAAGGAAACAGUCAACAAAACAAAGAGGCAACCCACAGAGUGGGAGAAGAUAUUUGCAAAUGACACUACAAAGAGCUGAUAUCCAAGAUCUAUAAAGAACUUCUCCAACUCAACACCCAAAAAACAAAUAAGUCAAAAAAUGGGCAGAAGACAUGAAAAGACACUUCUCAAAAGAAGACAUACAAAUGGCUAACAAACAUAUGAAAAAAUGUUCAUCAUCAUUAAACCAUCAGGGAAAUUCAAAUCAAAACCACAUUGAGAUACCACUCUACACCAGAUAGAAUGGCAAAAAUUGAGAAGGCAAGAAACAACAAAUGUUGGAGAGGUUGUGGAGAAAGGGGAACCCUCUUACACUGUUGGUGGGAAUGCAAGUUGGUACAGCCACUUUGGAAAACAGUAUGGAGUUUCCUCAAAAAUUAAAAGUAGAGCUACUCUAUGACCCAGCAAUUGCACUACUGGGUAUUUAUCCCCAAAACACAGAUGUAGUGAAAAGAAGGGCCAUAUGCACUCCAACGGUCAUAGCAGCAAUGUCCACAAUAGCCAAACUGUGGAAAGAGCCGAGAUGCCCUUCAACAGAUUAAUGGAUAAAGAUUUUACUUUUUUUAGUUUAUUUUUUAUUUAUUUAAGUAAUCUCUGUACCCAACGUGGGGCUUGAACUCACAACCCUGAGAUCAAGAGUCACAUGCUCUGCUGAUGGAGCCAAGCCAUCCAGGUGCCCCUAGACUAUCAUAUGUCUUUUUUUUUUUUUUUUUUAGGAUUUUAUUUAUUUAUUUGACAGAGAGACAUAGGAAGAGAGGGAACACAGGCGGAGGGAGUGGGGGAGGGAAAAGCAGGCUUCCUGUGGAGCAGGGAGCCUAAUGCAGGGCUCGAUCCCAGGGCCCUGGGAUCAUGACCUGAGCCAAAGGCAGACGCCCAACAACUGAGCCACCCAGGUGCCCCUAUCAUAUGUCUUGAUAAAUGCUUCAGGUGCACUUGAAAAUAAUGUGUAUUCUAAUGUUGUUGGGUAGAGAGUUCUACAAAUAUCUUAGAUCAAGUUGGUUGAUAGUGUUGUUCAGGUCUUCUCAAUCUUUGCUGACUUUCUACUUAUUCUAUCCAUAACUUUAAGAAAUAGUGAAGCCUCCAAGUAUAAUUAUGAAUUUGUCUAUUUAUCCUUUCAAGUUUUUGCUUCAUGUAUUUUGAAAAUCUGUUUUUAGGUCCAUACACAAUUACAGUUCUUACGUCUUCUUGGUGAUCUGAUCCUUUUAACAUUGUAUAAUAUCCGUCUUUAUCCAUGGUGAUACAUAGCACCUCCCACUUCUUUUGACUAGUGUUUUAAUGUUAUCUUUUACCAUCCUUUUACUCCUAACCUAUCUAUGGAUUGCUUAUUUAAUUUCAGUUGAAUCUUUGUUUAAAAAAACUCAAUCUGACAAUUUUUGCUUUUAAUUGGUAUGUUUAGAUCAUUUACAUUAGUGUAAUAAUUGAUGUGGUUGGACUUAAGUUACACUUUUAUUGAUUUCUGUUUGUUUCCUCUUUUUUAUUUUUCUCUUUAACCUUUCCUGCCUUUUUUUUUUUGGAUUAUUUGGAUAUUUUUAGUAUUCCAUUAUCUAUUGGGUUUUGGUUAUUUCUCUUUAUAAAGAUAUAAACACUUUCAUUUUCUAAUUUUUAACUGGUAAAAUACACCUAACAUAAAAUUUAUUAUCUUAACUAUUUUUAGGUGUAUAGUUCAGUAUUAUUAAGUAUAUUUACAUUGUUGUGCAACCAUUCUUCAGAACUUUUCCAUCUUGUGAAACUGAAACCCUAUACCUAUUAAGCAAUAAUUCCUUAUUCUCCCUCCUCCCAAGCCUUGGCAAAUACCAUUCUACUUUGUUUCUAUGAAUUUGACUGCUCUAGAUACUGCAUGUAAAUGGAUUUAUACAGUAUUUGUCUUUGUGAUUGACUUAUUUCACUUAGCAUCAUCUCAAAUAUUGUUGUAGCAUGUAUUAGAAUUUACUUCCUUUUUAAGGCUGAAUAAUAUUCUACUUUGUCUAUAUACCACAUUUUGUUUAUCCAUUCAUCUGCUGAUGGACACGUAGUCUAUUGUGAAUAAUCUGCUAUAAAUAUGGGUAUACAGAUACCUCUUUGAGAUUCUGCUUUGUAUUUUGGAUAUAUACCUAGAAGUGGAAUUACUAUAUCAAUUUUUAAUUUUUUGAGGAACUGCCAUAGUGUUUUCCUUAGCAACUGCACUAUUUUACAUUAUCCCCAACAGUGCACAAGGGUUCUAAUUUCUCUACAUCUUCACCACACCUUUUAGUCAGUGUUAUAAAACCGGGACCUGUUGAUGAAGUCCUAAUGGAAGCUACAACUAAGAAUGUAAAGGCCGAUGAAAUUAAGGUGAAAGUUUAGAGGAGAAUUAAUAUGUUUCAAUGGGCUUUAUGUGAAAUGGUUGUAUCUCUUUUACCUGAUUGCAUUAUGGGGAUGAACAUUAUAUCUGAUUGGGGAACAUUUCACCUACCAGAAUUGUUAAAAAGAAGGCAUGUAAAUCUGCCCUUCAAGCAAUGUUAAUUGAACAUGCUAAAUGGGAAUCGAUAAGAUUACGUGAAUCCAAACCAUAUAGAGUAGAAGCUGGAGUGCUGAUAUGGACAAAUUAUUUUUUUUUUAUUUUUAAGAUCUUAUUUAUUUGAGAGAGCGCCCAUGCACUCGCACACAAGCAGGGGGAGCGGCAGAGGGAGAGGAAGAAGCAGGCUCCCUGCUGAUGUGGGGCUCUAUCCCAAGACCCUGGGAUCAUGACCCAAGCUGAAGGCAGAGGCUUAACUGACUGAGCCACCCAGGUACCCCUGGACAAAUUCUUUAUGCAAUAACUGUAUGUGGAACAUACACUGGGCCUUAUCACAAAAGCCUGGGAGCAUCUCCCAGCAUUGACUACUGGGACUUUGGUCUGGAGAAUUCCCAUUUGGGGGGCAAUUACUAGGUUGCUAUCAGACAUUAAUUAAAACUGCCCUUGUGACUGAAGGACGUAAAAUCUUGAAUCCUAAAAUGCCUUUGAUGUCUUGGAUGAUGUUGGAAAAACACUGUAUUGGGGAGGGCAGUGCCCAGAAUAGUUCCAUAAUAAAAUGGAAAUAGUUUACACAGGGUCAUGCUACCUAUGGAAUGCAAGGAUGAUGUACUUACAAUAGGGAGCCUCUUUUCAAACCCUAGGCCUGACUUUGAAAUUUUGAAGAGCCUCCAGAUUCUGUCAUCACUUGGACCAUGUCCUAUGGACAUCUCUCAGCUGACCAACAAAUAUCUCCUUGGUUCAUGGAUGGCAGUUGUAAGGUAAAUGGACAAAAUCCUGUUUGGUAGACCACCACUCUGAUCAGAGAAGGUAAAAAUCAGCUAGGUGGGCUGACUUGCAUACUGUUUUCUUACCAGUGGUGGAAGAACUGGACAAUGAAUGAUAACAAUCCCUAGAUUUCAUUUUUACCAACUCAUGGCCAAUGGCCAAUGAAGGGCAGUGGAAACCUGGCCUAUUAAAGGGGUGCCUAUAUGGGGCACAGCUCUGUGGAAAAUCACUGUGGAAAUUUGAGGGGCACAUUGAGCUAGGAGGUAUCAAUGCCCAUCAGAAAAAAAAAAAAAAAAAACCCUUUAGUGGACUAUUCCUUGCCUGGCACUGGAAUCUCUGAAUACUUAUUUCUUAAACUAGCUAUUUAAUGUCUGUCUCUUCGACUAUACUCAAUGUCAGGAGGGACUAUUUUGGUUUUAUUACUGUAUCCCCAUGACUAAUACAGUUCUUGGCAUAUACUAAUAACCCAAUAAAUAUUUAUUGAAUAUA